rnacentral:rRNA from 1 species
UGGGGUGCUAAUACAUGCAAGUCGAGCGGACAGAAGGGAGCUUGCUCCCGGAUGUUAGCGGCGGACGGGUGAGUAACACGUGGGUAACCUGCCUGUAAGACUGGGAUAACUCCGGGAAACCGGAGCUAAUACCGGAUAGUUCCUUGAACCGCAUGGUUCAAGGAUGAAAGACGGUUUCGGCUGUCACUUACAGAUGGACCCGCGGCGCAUUAGCUAGUUGGUGAGGUAACGGCUCACCAAGGCGACGAUGCGUAGCCGACCUGAGAGGGUGAUCGGCCACACUGGGACUGAGACACGGCCCAGACUCCUACGGGAGGCAGCAGUAGGGAAUCUUCCGCAAUGGACGAAAGUCUGACGGAGCAACGCCGCGUGAGUGAUGAAGGUUUUCGGAUCGUAAAGCUCUGUUGUUAGGGAAGAACAAGUGCAAGAGUAACUGCUUGCACCUUGACGGUACCUAACCAGAAAGCCACGGCUAACUACGUGCCAGCAGCCGCGGUAAUACGUAGGUGGCAAGCGUUGUCCGGAAUUAUUGGGCGUAAAGGGCUCGCAGGCGGUUUCUUAAGUCUGAUGUGAAAGCCCCCGGCUCAACCGGGGAGGGUCAUUGGAAACUGGGAAACUUGAGUGCAGAAGAGGAGAGUGGAAUUCCACGUGUAGCGGUGAAAUGCGUAGAGAUGUGGAGGAACACCAGUGGCGAAGGCGACUCUCUGGUCUGUAACUGACGCGAGCGAAA